UCCGACCUCAGAUCGGACGAGAUUACCCGCUGAAUUUAAGCAUAUAACUAAGCGGAGGAAAAGAAACUAACAAGGAUUCCCUCAGUAACGGCGAGUGAAGCGGGAAUAGCCCAGCACCGAAUCCCUCAGUGUCAUGCUGACGGGAACUGUGGUGUGUGGGACGCCACCAGUCGCAUCAGAGGGCGCCGAAGUCCUCCUGAUCGGGGCUUCACCCAGAGCGGGUGUAAGGCCUUUGCGGGUGCCUCUCUGUGCGGCCGCGAGCGUCUCAGGAGUCGGGUUGUUUGGGAAUGCAGCCCAAAGCGGGUGGUAAACUCCAU
rnacentral:rRNA from 1 species